rnacentral:sRNA from 1 species
AUGCGUAUUCACAUUAAACAAAAUGGCGAGUAAGGAAAAGAGAACGCGGGGUAGGCCUGCUGUCUACACUGAAUUGGAAAGGAAAACACUGAGAAGAGAACGCGACCGAGCCAAUUCGGGAACGAAAGUAUAUUUGGGAGACCAAUAUGUUCGUUGGACGAAGAAGAAACGGAAGCUGGGCAAAACAAAUGCAGAGUUUGCAGAGAUUCUCCUGGACAGGUAUGAAUCACUUGGAUCAUCACCAUCAUCAUCAUGCAAAAAAUCUCGGACUGACAAAGUGCGUAACACGCGAGUUUCUGUCCAAACUCAGACAGUGCAUAACGCACAAUUGCGAGUUUCUGCCAAAACUCAGACUGCGCAUAACACACAAGUUUCUGCCCAAACUCAGACUGUGCAUAACACACAAGAUUCUGCCAUCAGUGGAAGCAGAGAUAUAGUUAAUGUUCCUAUUGGAAAUCAAAGCCCUCAUGUAUCGACACCAGGGAGUGAGGCCUCAUCAUCAGGGUGUGGUUUAAAUAGAACUACAUGUGUGUCCAGUAACAGUCAAAGUGGAACUGAGAUACUAUUACCGAUAAUACGUGUACCGGUAUUUAUGCCGACCUGUGUGUUGAUGACCACUGUAAAGUCUGAAACGUGAAGUCGUGAACUAUGUUAAGUUUGUUUGUAUUAUGUUGGUUACAAAUAGCAUGUAGCUGUCCCAAAGAAUUUAGGUAAUUGACUCUUUUUAAAUAUUUUUCACUUGAGCAAGAAGAUAAUUAAAACAUUUCAUUGCAUAAUUAUAUAGAGCUACUAUUCAGAUAUGAGAAACUAUCUAAUCAUGAUGAAUUGUGUAUAUAAUUAUAAAUGUGAGUGUGUGUUUACGAUUUUGUAUAUACAUGUGCAUAUAGAUAUGUAUAAAUGUUUAUCCCU